UGGGACAAUCUAUAUUUUUCAUAUUUUCUACUAAAAAAAUCUCUAUCUUUUUAUAUUAUCUACUCUAAUUGAUUUCCUAAUUUUCUUUAAUUUCCUUAUCAUAAUAACUCUCUAUUUCUUUUUUCAAACUUUUUAUACAUACAUCCUCGCUAUAAUCUUUCUCUCUUCUUAGAUUCCAUGUCUUUCUCAUAGAGACUUCUUCUUUUCCCGAUUUCCUGGAUAUCUCUCUUUCCUCUCAAGUCUGAAUCUAAACUAGAAAGGAAUUUCUUUACAAAAAAAAAAUCACAUGGUAUGAUUUCGACCUCGUAUUCUUAUCGAUGUGAGCAAGAUAGACCUGACCACUACUAUCUUGGGGUUCAAAAUAUCAAUGCCAAUUAUGAUUGCUCCAACCGCCAUGCAAAAAAUGGCACAUUCUGAAGGUACUGCCCUGUUUCCUUAAGCUCGUGCUCUAAUCAAGUUUGGGCAAAGUAGGAAUUAUUUAUCGUUAAUGAAACAUGAAAAAUACCUAUUUCCAUUUCACUCGAGCCUAGGUCUGUUACUUGACUGAUCCAUUUCAAGUUUUAAUUUUUAUUUUAUUUGUAUCUCUGGAAUUAUCCACCCAGUCAACUGAAUCUUGGUUUGCUUAGGAUAGAUCCAGAGGCCUUACUUGGUUCUAUAAUGGGAGCUGUUAUCAAGACUUGUUCAGCUUAAGUUGACUUGAAACUCAUUUGAGUAUUAGAAAUAUGGUGUUUCCACUGUUAGAUUUAUAUUCUGAGUUUGCAAUUGAAUUUCUAAAGUUUUUGAGAAAGUGAGGAUUUCUUUUCUCUUUCCUGGUUUUGAAGAAAUUCACUCAAAUGCAAUCUAACCUGCUAACUUUAGUGCUAUAUUGAUUAUGAAAGUCUUCUAUUAUAAAUUUGAAUGGAGGUAAAUGAUGCAGCAAUACAUUUGCUGAAUCUAAUCUGUUGAAAAACCAGAUGAACGAAUUUGAGUAGGCAAAUGCAUUGGUGACCACUCAGGUGAGCUGCUACCUCUUCUAUUCCUACAAUCACUGGUAAGUUAUCUCUCUCUCUCUCUCUCUCUCUCUCUCUCUCUCUCUGUUAUGUGUGUAUCCUUUGUGAAAAAAAAAAUGCAAGUCUUCAUUCCUUGAUAUGUACAAUCAGGUUUCCCUUCCUCGGAGAUGCAGCCACAAUUGUAUGGUUUUAUAAUUGUGGACUGAGCUCUCUCUCUCUCUCUGUUAUGUGUGUAUCCUUUGUGAAAAAAAAAAUGCAAGUCUUCAUUCCUUGAUAUGUACAAUCAGGUUUCCCUUCCUCGGAGAUUCAGCCACAAUUGUAUGGUUUUAUAAUUGUGGACUGAGCUUUGAAAAUCCAGUAAAGUUUGGGCUGUGAGAAGGAAACUUUUGCAAGAAGCCAUUUGCAAGGAUCUACCACCAGGCACCAUUAAGUUCUCUUCCACGCUUGCUUCUAUUAAGGAAACAUGAAACUUAAAACUGCUACAUUUGGCUAAUGGAUCCGAAACCCUUUUCUUUACAAAGUAUCUCAGUGCCAAAAUCUCAUUGGUAUAUAAUCCACCAUCAGACUAACAUUGUUUUCCGGUUUCAAUUAUUGAUUGGGUGCGAUGGAGUGAAUUCAAUUGUUGCAAAAUGGUUGGGUCUUGAAAUACCAAUCUUUUCUGAGAGAUGGGCAAUAGGUGUACUGUGGAAUACUCGGGUGGCCAUGGCCUUGAACCAUCAGUUCUUUGGAAAUGGCUCUUGCUGUGGUAUGAUUCCUUGUGAUGAGAACAUUGUAUAUCGGUUUUUCACAUGGACUGCUUCUUUAGUAUGUCAUACAUAUAUAUCAUUAGUUUUAAAAUGGGUUAUUUAUGGA